UCGCUAGAUGUGCCGGACUACACGUGU
rnacentral:sRNA from 1 species